AUCGUGUGGGUGCACAUUUCGCUGUCAGUGACUUGUGACAGAAAAAUGUUACCACCAACCUACGUCGAAGGUUUUCACGAUUUAGAGGCGGUGAAAGCAAUGGAGUAUAGACCUCUCGGUAAAACUGGCUUAUUGGUCAGUAAAUUAUCUUUCGGUGGUGGACCAUUUGGUUGCCACUAUGGAACGUACGAUGAGGCAGAAGCUAUUGAAACGAUACGUCAGGCAAUAAAACGGGGUAUUAAUUACAUUGAUACCGGGCCAUGGUACGGUCAAGGUCGUUCUGAGACUGUAAUUGGGAAAGCUCUGAAAGGCAUUCCGCGUGAAGCAUAUUACAUUGCAACGAAAGUCGGAAGAUACGAAUUAAAUUACGAAAACAUGUUUGAUUUUUCAAAAGAAAAAACACGAAAAAGUUUCGAAAAGAGUUUAGAACGUUUAGGUUUAGAUUAUGUCGACGUUAUACAAGUACACGAUAUCGAAUUUGCUCCGAGUUUAGAUAUAAUAAUUACGCAAACUUUGCCAGAACUCUCGUGUAAAAUUGCAGACCGUAAAGCUAAGUAUAUUGGUAUCACCGGAUAUCCGGUGUCUAUUUUGAAAAAAUGUAUAGAACAGAGUAAUAUUAGGAUAUCGUGUAUAUUGAGCUAUGCAAGGUUUACAUUAAUCGACAACACUUUGAUCGACUAUAUUCCAUUUUUCAAGGCAGAAAAUAUUGGUAUAAUUAAUGCUGCAGCACCUUGUAUGGGACUUUUAACUAAUGAUGGUCCACCAGCCUGGCAUCCUACUUCUGAACAAACAAAGGCAAUAUGUGCAGAUGCAGCAAAAUAUUGUAAGAAUCAUAAUACAGAAUUAGCUAAAUUAGCAUUGUGGCAUUCUUUGCAAUGUAAAGAUAUAGCUACAUAUCUAGUUGGAAUUCAAAAUCUGAAAGAAUUAAAUAUGAAUCUUGAUGUUCUUAAACAUGGCAUUACAGAGAGAGAAAAGAUUUUGUUGCAAGAAAUUCAAGAAAAUUCCCAAUAUCAAAGACUUUUUAAGUGUUUGAUCUGACAUAGGAUUACAACCUAUCUACUCAUUUAUGUGAUACAUAAGUCCCCAGACUUUUCUAUUGCAUCUCAGCCUGAUAUUAAGCUGAUAUUUGUGUAAAGUAAUGGAAAAACAUUGGGAAAAUAAAGAAGUUCAAACGUAUUGGGAAAAUAUGAAAAAGUAA